rnacentral:rRNA from 1 species
GGAGUCUGCAACCCGACUCCAUGAAGCUGGAUUCGCUAGUAAUCGCGCAUCAGCCAUGGCGCGGUGAAUACGUUCCCGGGCCCUGUACACACCGCCCGUCACACCAUGAGAGUUGGGGAUACCCGAAGCCUGUGAGCCAACAGUUUACUGAGGCAGCAGUCGAAGGUAGAAUCAAUGAUUGGGGUGAAGUCGUAACAAGGUAGC